rnacentral:rRNA from 1 species
AAGAAUGAUGGUGGGAGUGGAAAAUCCACCAAGUGACGGUAACUAACCAGAAAGGGACGGCUAACUACGUGCCAGCAGCCGCGGUAAUACGUAGGUCCCGAGCGUUGUCCGGAUUUAUUGGGCGUAAAGCGAGCGCAGGCGGUUUUUUAAGUCUGAAGUUAAAGGCAUUGGCUCAACCAAUGUACGCUUUGGAAACUGGAGAACUUGAGUGCAGAAGGGGAGAGUGGAAUUCCAUGUGUAGCGGUGAAAUGCGUAGAUAUAUGGAGGAACACCGGUGGCGAAAGCGGCUCUCUGGUCUGUAACUGACGCUGAGGCUCGAAAGCGUGGGGAGCAAACAGGAUUAGAUACCCUGGUAGUCCACGCCGUAAACGAUGAGUGCUAGGUGUUAGGCCCUUUCCGGGGCUUAGUGCCGGAGCUAAC